UACGUAGGGUGCAAGCGUUGUCCGGAAUUAUUGGGCGUAAAGAGCUCGUAGGCGGUGUGUCGCGUCGGCCGUGAAAACCUGCAGCUUAACUGUGGGCGUGCGGUCGAUACGGGCAUCACUGGAGUUCGGCAGGGGAGACUGGAAUUCCUGGUGUAGCGGUGAAAUGCGCAGAUAUCAGGAGGAACACCGGUGGCGAAGGCGGUGGUCUGGGCCGGCACUGACGCUGGAGGAGCGAAAGCGUGGGGAGCGAACAGG
rnacentral:rRNA from 1 species